rnacentral:rRNA from 1 species
CACCGCCCGUCACAUCACGAAAAGUGGGUGGUACUAGAAGUCGGUGCGCUAACCGCAAGGAGGCAGCCGCCCAAGGUAUCAUUCAUGAUUGGGGUG